AUGGCUCCUUCUUGUCCAUGCCCAGGGCUGCAGGCGGAGGUGAGGCUGGAGGAGACCGGAGGCGGCUUCCAAAGCUCUGGGGCCUCCAUGAGGCUCCUGUGCAAGGCCUCGGGCUUCACCUUCGGCUCCUAUGCCAUGGGAUGGAUGCGCCAAGCACCGGGACAGGGGCUCCAAUGGGUCGCCGGCAUUAACUACAAUGGUGGUUACACCUCCUAUGGGCCAUCGGUGAAGGGCAGAGCCACCAUCAGCAGGGACAACUCCCAGGCCACGGUCACGCUGCAGAUGAGCGGCCUCGAGGCCAAGGAUACGGCCACUUACUACUGUGUAAAGGGUGCUUAUGGUGGUUAUGUUGGUGCUGGUUAUGGUUAUACUGGUUCUGGUGGUGGUUAUGGUGGUUAA